rnacentral:lncRNA from 1 species
GGGAACUCAUGUUGAAGGAGCUCGGGUGGUGCAGUGGGAGUUCGUCCGUCGGGGGAAUUCAGUCAGCACUGUGGGAAUCCGGCUGUUGGAGAAGUCCGAAGAGAUACCAUCUGCGGUCGAAAGCAGGAGGAGUCCUGGGAGGGUCAAUUCUGUCAAGAACUUCGGCUGAGGGUUUUUUAUACCCAACAGCCGCUCUUAGCCGCUCCUCUCUAUUCCACAGGGCACCCUCUACCUUUCGGCCCAUCUGUCCCUGAUAAAAAGUCCAAAUCCCAGAUCGAAAAUAGGGCUUCAAAAAGGACUCAACUAUCAUUUCUAGCCGUUGGAUCUUUACAGAC